CUCUCUCUAGAAAGCCUUUUCGGCCAAACAUCCGACCGAAGCAGCGCAGUAAAUCAUUCCUCCAUACUCCAAUGCCGCAUCCAGUUCCGUUUUUCCUACGAAGGUUGUUUCCUGUAUUUUUGCGUCUCGGUGAAGAUAUCUCGCAAGAUCAAAUUAUCGGAAGGCAACAAUCCAAGGAUUAAUUUUAGAAUCGAAUCACUGAUGCAUACAAUCAAACUAAAAAUCUUGAUUGAGAGAUACAUAGUGCAAGAUCUAUACAAAAUCGGACCCAAGCCAUGGAGAAAGCUGUUUGAAAAUUACUUGCUUGUAUCAAUAAAGUGGAAACCUUAAAACCAAGUGGAGUUUCAGAGAUGGAUAUUGUAAGUCUUUUCUUGAAUUUAUUGUUAAUAUAGAUAUAGUUCGAAAGUUCUAUUUGUAACCUUAAAGUGUUGUUUGCAUUUAAAUCAAACAAAUGAGAUACUAAUGAAGAAAAAUGCAAGUUUCAACAAAGGUUUUAAAUUUGAUCAUGUUUGGAACUUGUUAAAAGAUUUUGAAACAAUUAAUGAUCACAAUGAAGCUAGAAACUCGUAUAAAAUACCUCGAAAAAAUAAUUUCGCUCAUGUAUCAUCAUAAUUGGAUGACACUGCUUUUGAAUCUCCUAAAAAUGUAUAAUUUUCUGUUAAUUUAGACGAUGAUGAGAGCGUCCUAUAGGGGUGAAAAAAGUAAAGCAACAGAAGAAAAAUAAAGAUAAAGAAGAUGCUCAUGUUAGUAAUGUUAAAGACCAAAAUUCAAUAGUUCUGGAAAUGCUACAAAAAUCAACUUUGCACGGACAAAAAAUUUUGCAAUUGGAACAAGAAAAAUUAGCAUUUAAGAGAAUGACACGUGAGGAAAAAAUUAUGAAUAUGGACUUGAAUGUUAUUUUUUAUUUUGUUUAGCGUGCUUAUUACCAGCUCAAGAAAGAUAAAAUUUUACAUAAAAAAAACAA